AGAGAAUAGAUACCCGGGUAGUCCACGCUGUAAACGAUGGGUACUAGGCUUGGUGGGUCUUGACCCCCGCCGAGCCGGCGCUAAACGCAAAUAAGUACCCCGCCUGGGAAGUACGGUCGCAAGACUAAAACUCAAAGGAAUUGACGGGGGCCCGCACAAGCGGUGGAUCAUGUGGUUUAAUUCGAAGCAACGCGAAGAACCUUACCUGGGUUUGACAUCUCUGGACAUCCGUAGAGAUACGGCUUCGUAGCAAUACGACCAGAAGACAGGUGCUGCAUGGCUGUCGUCAGCUCGUGUGGUGACAUGUUGGGUUAAGUCCCGCAACGAGCGCAACCCUUGUCCUUAGUUGCCAGCAUUCAGUUGGGCACUCUAAGGAGACUGCCGUGGUUAACACGGAGGAAGGUGGGGAUGACGCCAAGUCCUCAUGGCCUUUAUAUCCAGGGCGACACACGUGAUACAAUGGACGGUACAGAGGGAAGCGAACCCGCGAGGGGAGCCAAUCUCAAAAAGCCGUUCUCAGUUCGGAUUGGAGUCUGCAACUCGACUCC
rnacentral:rRNA from 1 species